rnacentral:rRNA from 1 species
GUGUCAGCAGCCGCGGUAAUACGUAGGGGGCAAGCGUUGUCCGGAUUUAUUGGGCGUAAAGAGCGUGUAGGCGGCCGCACAGGUCCGUUGUGAAAACUGGAGGCUUAACCUUCAGACGUCGAUGGAAACCGUGCGGCUAGAGUCCGGAAGAGGAGAAUGGAAUUCCUGGUGUAGCGGUGAAAUGCGCAGAUAUCAGGAAGAACACCCGUGGCUAAGGCGGUUCUCUAGUACGGUACUGACGCUGAGACGCGAAAGCGUGGGGAGCGAACAGGAUUAGAAACCCCCGUAGUCC